AUUACCUAUGCUAGCCUAUCACCAAAGAAUAUUCCUUAUUUUUUUCCCUCAAUUACUUAUUCUUUCAUUCUUAUCUUCCACAUCACUUCCUCUCAUCCUCACCACACAUUCAAAAUUUCUGAUUACUUUCUCUCUCCACGUGGGUCCCACCCCACACAAUCAGCCUUGCCUUUACUCUCUCCCCCUCACUCUCCCCUCAUUCACGCUCUCCCCUCACUCUCGACAUUUCUCUCUCACUUUCUCCUUCUUCACUUCUUCUCCUCCAUUUUUCCUCUGCAACCCAAAACAACUCAACAUCACCUUCUUCUUCUCCCAUGGCAGCCGCCACCACCACGAGAAUCCCCUCUGCUCACGCGAACCGCCGUCGGUCACGCCACCAUCGUCGCGUUUUCUUCUUCUUCCCAUGAGAGCCACCAUGAACGAACCGCCACCACCUUGGCCUCUCCUUCACGCGCACCACCACGGUCGCCCUGCUGGCCCAACCGCGAGCACCAUCAUCACCCACAUGAUGAGAAACAACAGAGAAAUAGAGGAGAAACCAAACCCUAAAACCGCCACCUUCAAGCUCCGAUCUUCGGCAAACCACUGAGCUUUUGGAGAAAUCAAUACCACCGUUGAACUACCCUCAUCAUCUGCUUCAAAACCCCUCCAUCAAUUUGCCGCUAGUAUCAUGUCGUUCUGAUUUCCGUAGCUCGAAUUAUAAGCUUUUUAGUGAGCAUGGGUUAAGCUGUCCCGUUUCUCACGAACUGCUGUUAGUAUUCGAUUUUUUCUGAAUUUUUUACUUUGAAUUUAGACUUGAAAAUUUAUAGAGAUUUACAAAACCUGUAGACGAAACCAUGAUAAAAAUAUUAGAUUUUUCUGAGUGCAUUUGACGUAUUUAAAAAUUUUCCAAAGUGGCUGUACAGUUUAUGAUCGUUUUGACAAAAUCGUUCAUCGUGAGUGCAAACGUUAGUUUUUGGCAAAGAUGAGGAAAACCUCUUUGGUACCUUACUUACGUAUGUUGUUGAUUCGUUUAUGAAAAUAAAGAGCGUCGAGUUUUACGCGCAUUUAUUCGUUAAAAGGCGAUUGCGAAAGAUUUUGAAAGUCGAACAAGUUUUUGGAGUGUUAGGGAAUAAGAGUUUGAAUAUUAUCUCUUUUGUUAAUGAAUGUUUUAGGGGUAACAUAUUUGGUUAGAGAUAAAGCAGUUAGGUUUGGAUUCCCGAGUGACGAAUUAGACUUGGAAAGUAGGUAGCUCAAUUAGUAAUUACGUUAUGUGUACUUAUGAAGGGUACGAAUAACGGGAGCGCUUGAUGACGAAACCAAAGAACAAAAAGGAAGCGAGCCGACACGGGAAAGCAAGGAUGUGAUUUGGAUUGGAGUUGCAGUUUAGGCAGGAAAUUGGCUAGGGCGAUGGAGAAUCUUCGAUGGAGCUUAACCUUUGUGCGAGUGGUGAUGAGGACUUGAAGAACUGUGGAAGACUCGAAGAAUAGAGUCGGGUGUUGGGCUAGAGCCUUGGGUUAGACAGUUUACCGUUAUUGGUAAGCUUGCAUAAUGAUUUUAGAAAUUUAUAUUUGGGGUUUCGGGUACUUGCCUUGUUCAAGGCUAAAUGUAAUUUGAUUAUAGUUGGGAGUAUGCAUGACAUGUUUUGGAAAUACUUUGAGAGGAAAAAAAUAUAUACUCGUGUUUGCGAAUCAUUUUGGAAAA